rnacentral:pre_miRNA from 1 species
AGCCUUUCGGAUCCGUGCUGAGAUUUCGUCAGACACCAAAUCAUUAGGACUGAUCAGACUUCCAAGAUAAGUGAAGUU